rnacentral:SRP_RNA from 1 species
GCCGGGCGUGGUGGCACACGCCUGUAGUCCCAGCUACUCGGGAGGCUGAGACAGGAGAAUUGCUGGAGCCCAGGAGGCGGAGGUUGCAGUGAGCCGAGAUCGGGCCACUGCACUCCAACCUGGGCGACAGAGCGAGACUCCGUCUCAA